GGGUUUAGCUCAGUCGGCAGAGCGUUAGUCUCAUAAUCUAAAGGUCGUGAGUUCGAGCCUCACAAUCCGC
rnacentral:tRNA from 1 species